UGUGAUAUAUUUUGUGUGAAAAACUGGAAAACAAAGUGCAUACCUGCAUAACCUCACUUAUCGCAGUUUUGCACAUUUUGAUGAUGGGAAUUGCGGUUCAAGUAAUUAUGAGUUAUAGAUGGAGCUCACUGUUUACUUCAAACUGAAGCCUUUUGGGUCCACUUUUUUCGUUGUUAUUUCCUGGUAGCGACUAUUGUUUCAAGCAGAAUGGGUGUAAAGUUAAAAAUAAUCCCAUAAAAUUGUUAAUAUAACUCCGUUGCACUGGCAUGGGGUAUUUGAAAACUUACGUU